rnacentral:rRNA from 1 species
GACAGAGGUGCCGAGCGUUAGGCGGAAUCACUGGGCUUAAAGCGUGUGUAGGCGGAUCUGUAAGUACCUUGUGAAAUCCCACGGCUCAACCGUGGAACUGCUUGGUAUACUGCGGGUCUUGAGCCACCUAGGGGCAAGUGGAACAAACGGUGGAGCGGUGAGAUGCGUAGAUAUCGUUUGGAACGCCAAUGGUGAAAACAACUUGCUGGGGGUGUGCUGACGCUGAGACACGAAAGCCAGGGGAGCAAACGGG